rnacentral:rRNA from 1 species
AGAGUUUGAUCCUGGCUCAGAAUGAACGUUGGCGGCGUGGAUUAGGCAUGCAAGUCGGACGGGCCGCAAGGCCAGUGGCGCAAGGGUGAGUAAGGCGAAGGUAACCAACCCCGCGGACGGGCAUAGCCGGGGGAAACCCCGGGUAAUUCCCGGCGACACGACGGCCCGGCAUCGGGCCCUCGUCACAGAUUGAUCGCCGCGAGACGGGCCUUCGUGGUAUUAGCUGGUUGGCGGGGUGACGGCCCACCAAGGCUGCGAUGCCUACCGGGCGUGCGAGCGUGGCCCGGCACACUGGGACUGAGACACUGCCCAGACUCCUACGGGAGGCUGCAGUCGAGAAUCUUCGGCAAUGGGCGCAAGCCUGACCGAGCGACGCCGCGUGGAGGACGAAGGCCUUCGGGUUGUAAACUCCUGUCGAGGGGGAGGAAGGCGCGAGCUUGACCGAUCCCUGGAGGAAGCACGGGCUAAGUUCGUGCCAGCAGCCGCGGUAAUAC